rnacentral:rRNA from 1 species
UACGUAGGGUGCAAGCGUUGUCCGGAAUUAUUGGGCGUAAAGAGCUCGUAGGCGGCUUGUCGCGUCGGCUGUGAAAACCCGCGGCUCAACUGUGGGCGGGCAGCUGAUACAGGCAGGCUGGAGUUCGGUAGGGGAGACUGGAAUUCCUGGUGUAGCGGUGAAAUGCGCAGAUAUCAGGAGGAACACCGGUGGCGAAGGCGGGUCUCUGGGCCGAUACUGACGCUGAGGAGCGAAAGCGUGGGGAGCGAACAGG